AGAACGAACGCUGGCGGCAUGCCUAACACAUGCAAGUCGAACGAGACCUUCGGGUCUAGUGGCGCACGGGUGCGUAACGCGUGGGAAUCUGCCCUUGGGUUCGGGAUAACAGUUGGAAACGACUGCUAAUACCGGAUGAUGACUUCGGUCCAAAGAUUUAUUGCCCAGGGAUGAGCCCGCGUAGGAUUAGCUAGUUGGUGAGGUAAAGGCUCACCAAGGCGACGAUCCUUAGCUGGUCUGAGAGGAUGAUCAGCCACACGUGGGACUGAGACACGGCCCAGACUCCGUACGGGAGGCAGCAGGUGGGGAAUAGUGGACAAGUGGGACGAAAGCCUGAUCCGAG
rnacentral:rRNA from 1 species